UCACCGCUUGCGCGGGCAGUCUCAUUAGAGUCCCCAGCAUAACCUGAUGGCAACUAAUGAUAGGGGUUGCGCUCGUUACGGGACUUAACCCAACACCUCACGGCACGAGCUGACGACAGCCAUGCAGCACCUAGUUUCGUGCCCUUGCGGGAAUCCCGGUUUCUCGGGACGUCACUAACUUUCAAGCCCAGGUAAGGUUCCUCGCGUAUCAUCGAAUUAAACCACAUGCUCCUCCGCUUGUGCGGGCCCCCGUCAAUUCCUUUGAGUUUCAAUCUUGCGACCGUACUCCCCAGGUGGAUAACUUAAUGCUUUCGCUUAGACGCUAACAGUAUAUCGCUAACAUCGAGUUAUCAUCGUUUAGGGCGUGGACUAC
rnacentral:misc_RNA from 1 species